rnacentral:rRNA from 1 species
GACGAAGGAUGCAAGCGUUAUCCGGAUUCAUUGGGUUUAAAGGGUGCGUAGGCGGCCCGGUAAGUCGGUGGUGAAAUCUCCUUGCUUAACAAGGAAACUGCCAUUGAUACUGCUGGGCUUGAGUACAGAUGCUGUGGGCGGAAUAUGACAUGUAGUGGUGAAAUACAUAGAGAUGUCAUAGAACACCGAUUGCGAAGGCAGCUCACAAAGCUGUAACUGACGCUGAGGCACGAAAGUGCGGGGAUCAAACAGG